CACACGCACACAUCCUCCAUCUCUCUCUCCCCCUCCUCCCGCCCCGGUAUUGGACGAUACUCUCAGUAGGUGUGUGAGUGAAGUCAUUCAGAGCGCGUCCUCCCAACAGGCACACAGCACACAACAGUAUGGCACCAGUCAAUCUAGUGGGAGAGCUGAGCUCUGCAGCCUGGUCUUCGUCCCCGGUCCUCGCCCUCCUCUCCACCCUGGUCUUCCUCACGCUCAGCAUCACCCUCCUCACUCUGUGCAUGAGGUGUCGACGAUGCCUGAUGAAGAUCCCUAGCGAUCGAAACGUUGCCUGUUUCUUAAUAAAUCUACUUCUGGAGCGUUAAAACAGAACCCGGAGAACGCGUACGACGUCAACAUGGGGCAAGACGUCCCGGACCAGGGCAGCGGGACCAAGGCCGUGAGUUGACCUGAAACACAGAGCACACCUGUCUCCCAGUAGACCAUAUGUGUCCCCAUGACAACCAGCCCUGGUUUUUGACCCCGCCUCUGGUCCUCAGAUAACCAGGCCUUCACCGCCUGGCGUAACCAUGGCGACAUG
ensembl:lncRNA